rnacentral:lncRNA from 1 species
AGAAUUUUAAUUAAAUGUGGAGGCAGAGACCCAGUUUUGGCUAAACAUUGAUUGACUAUUGACUCCAUCUUGAGCAAGGCCACAGUGCUCAGUCUUUGUGAUCAGGAUGUCCGUUCUCCUGCUGACACGUAAAACAAUUGCCAUUUUGCUCCAGUCCAAAUAUUUGACCCAGUCCAAGGUUCAGGACAGCAAAGCAGUUUCUCUGGAAAGGCUCCUCUAUAGUCACUUUUGACAGCACGCUGGGCCUUGGGAUUUUCUGUCACCCUCACCAUCACAGUGGUGUUGGUGAUGGAGAAGGGGGUAGGGAGCUCUCACCAGAAUCUGUCAACCAGGGUUCUUUACUUGUCUACCAUGUAUCUCUGAAAUGAAAUUGGAGUUGUAGGCAGCUGUCUAGCUGCUCACUCCUGCCAACCGCUGAUCCUCUUCUGCCCCGCCUCCCUUUUUACUUUCAUCCUGAGUCCACACUAGAUGCUCACAGCCGAUGGCUCUGCCGAAAGGGCACUCUUGCAUUUAUUCAUUCAGCAAAUGUCCGUCCAAUGCCCACCGAGCCAGGCCCUGGCUCCGUCCUAGGACUGCAGAGCCGAGUCAAGCAGCGUCCCUGCCUGGAGGAGCCACAGCAGAGCAGAGGAUUCACCCCGCAAAGUCAACAACUCCGGGCUGAGCAGAGGUUACACACCAUCGGCCUUCAUCACACUUCGCUCGGCACACACAAGGCUUCAUUGUCAAUGUUUUGAUUUUCCUUUAAAAUUACUUGACAAAUUUAUAAGUGGGACUUUUCACCUAAAAAUUUAGAUUUCCUGGACCUUCACGAGGUCCGGCAGCUCCUGGUCCACUUUCACGCGCUCCCGCCUUCUCUUGAGGCUGACUGCCGGCUGUCCUUUCAAGUUAGGACCACUCCCACUCCCCACAGCCUCCACCACUCCCUAGUGUCCCCAACCCAAGGCCCACGUGAGUUGCCACAAGCCACCCUCCUGGUGCUGCUCUUGUUCUCGGGCCCAGCCAGCUUCACCAGUUUCCUCCAGGCGCCUUAAUCCUGCACGCUUGCCUCUGAGUUCCUUGGUCCACAGUGAAACGCGCUUCGAUAGAGGCAGCAGAGGGCGCUGUGGGAGCACCCAGGAGAGGCGCCCCAGGCAUCUGCCAGGACUGCCUAAAACCACAGAGAUCUCCUAACAGCCUGAGGAGGGGGCACUCAGGAUCAGCUGCUU